UACGUAGGGUCCAAGCGUUGUCCGGAAUUACUGGGUAUAAAGGGUGCGCAGGCGGUCUUGUGCGUCGAAGGUUAAAUACCAUGGCUCAACCAUGGGAAUGCCCUCGAUACGGCAAGACUUGAGUAUGAGAGAGGAAGAUGGAAUUCCUGGUGUAGCAGUGAAAUGCGUAGAUAUCAGGAGGAACACCGGUGGCGAAGGCGGUCUUCUGGCUCAUUACUGACGCUCAGGCACGAAAGCGUGGGGAGCGAACAGG
rnacentral:rRNA from 1 species